GACGAACGCUGGCGGCGUGCUUAACACAUGCAAGUCGAACGGAAAGGCCCUGCUUUUGUGGGGUGCUCGAGUGGCGAACGGGUGAGUAACACGUGAGUAACCUGCCCUUGACUUUGGGAUAACUUCAGGAAACUGGGGCUAAUACCGGAUAUGAGCUCCUGCUGCAUUGUGGGGGUUGGAAAGUUUCGGCGGUUGGGGAUGGACUCGCGGCUUAUCAGCUUGUUGGUGGGGUAGUGGCUUACCAAGGCUUUGACGGGUAGCCGGCCUGAGAGGGUGACCGGCAAAAUUGGGACUGAGAGACGGCCCAGACUCCAACGGGAGGCAGCAGUGGGGAAUAUUGCACAAUGGGCGGAAGCCUGAUGCAGCAACGCCGCGUGCGGGAUGACGGCCUUCGGGUUGUAAACCGCUUUCGCCUGUGACGAAGCGUGAGUGACGGUAAUGGGUAAAGAAGCACCGGCUAACUACGUG
rnacentral:rRNA from 1 species